rnacentral:tRNA from 1 species
GUCAGCAUGGCCGAGUGGUCUAAGGCGCCAGACUCAAGGUUAAACCUUCUCACUUGAUGAGGCGUCUGGUCUCCGAAUGGAGGCGUGGGUUCAAAUCCCACUUCUGACA